rnacentral:rRNA from 1 species
UACGAAGGGGGCUAGCGUUGUUCGGAAUUACUGGGCGUAAAGGGCGCGUAGGCGGUACUUCAAGUCAGGCGUGAAAGCCCCGGGCUCAACCUGGGAACCGCGCUUGAGACUGGAGAACUAGAGUUCGGGAGAGGAUGGUGGAAUUCCCAGUGUAGAGGUGAAAUUCGUAGAUAUUGGGAAGAACACCGAUGGCGAAGGCAGCCAUCUGGACCGACACUGACGCUGAGGCGCGAAAGCGUGGGGAGCAAAUAGG